AACGAACGCUGGCGGCAUGCCUAACACAUGCAAGUCGAACGACACCUCCGUAUCUAGUUGCGCACGCGUGCGUCACGCGUCGGAACGUGCCCUUAUGCUCCGGAUAACUCCUCUUAGUGGGGGCUAAUACCGGGUAAUGUCUGCUAACCAAACAUUUAUCGCCUUGGGAUGGGCCCGCGUUGGACUAGCUAGGUGGGAGGGUAAAAGCCGACCAAGGCGAGGAUCCAUAGCUGGUCUGAGGGGAUGAUCAGCCACUCUGGGACUGAGACACGGCCCAGACUCUUACGGGAGGCAGCAGUGGGGAAUAUUGGAAAAUGGGCGAAAGGCUGAUCCAGCAAUGCCGGGUGAGUGAUGAAGGUCUUAGGGUUGUAAAGCUCUUUUACCCGGGAUGAUAAUGACAGUACCGGGAGAAUAAGCACCGGCUAACUUCGUG
rnacentral:rRNA from 1 species